UGCGAUUCUUGCAAAGUACUUCGAAUGCAAUGUUUUUCUUGAUUCUGGCAAUUGUCGACCCUUGGGGAAGGUUUGAGUACCAGUGUCUUUCGUCCUGAUUUUUAUUGAGGCGAAACUGGUAGAAGACAUAAGACUGUUUCAGCUUCUAUAGUCCAGAAUGAUCGUCGCAUAUCAUCAUCUGACAUCAUAUUAAGAAUUUGUUUAGUAUUAAUAUUCCAACACUAACGAAUAAGAUACAAAGACGAUAAGGACAGAAUAAUUAUAAGGAACAUAAGGAAAAAGAAGAACUCUACCACAUGUCCAUCGUAAUCCUUUGUGACAUCUCAAGAACUCUACUGUGACUAAUCUUCAAAGUAUAGUAGAGUUUAAAUAAGACAGUCUAUGUCUGAAGCGUGAAGAAGUGAGAUUAAAUAUUCAACCUGGUAUCUGAAAUAAUCAAGUAUAUAGAGUAUGAUUCCCGUUGGAAAAAAUGCAUACAGAGAAGGAAUUUUUUAAAAAAUGUUGACU